rnacentral:pre_miRNA from 1 species
UGAUGGGAAUGUUGUUUGGCUCGAGGUUCAUAUAUAUCAAACUAUAUCAAAUUUUUUGGAUAAAGAAAAAGGGUUGUUGUUGGAUUGUUAAAUAUAUAAUCUCGGACCAGGCUUCAUUCCCGUCAACCAA